UACGAAGGGGGCGAGCGUUGUUCGGAAUUACUGGGCGUAAAGGGCGCGUAGGCGGCCGAUCAAGUCAGAUGUGAAGGUCCUGGGCUUAACCUGGGGACUGCAUUUGAUACUGAUUGGCUUGAAUGCAGGAGAGGAUAGCGGAAUUCCCAGUGUAGAGGUGAAAUUCGUAGAUAUUGGGAAGAACACCGGUGGCGAAGGCGGCUAUCUGGACUGUGAUUGACGCUGAGGCGCGAAAGCGUGGGGAGCAAACAGG
rnacentral:rRNA from 1 species